rnacentral:misc_RNA from 1 species
GAUGAAGAACGCAGCGAAAUGCGAUAAGUAAUGUGAAUUGCAGAAUUCAGUGAAUCAUCGAAUCUUUGAACGCACAUUGCGCCCUCUGGUAUUCCGGGGGGCAUGCCUGUUCGAGCGUCAUUAUAACCACUCAAGCUCUCGCUUGGUAUUGGGGCUCGCGGUUCCGCGGCCCCUAAAAUCAGUGGCGGUGCCUGUCGGCUCUACGCGUAGUAAUACUCCUCGCGAUUGAGUCCGGUAGGUCUACUUGCCAGCAACCCCCAAUUUUUACAGGUUGACCUCGGAGCAGGUAGGGAUACCCGCUGAACUUAAGCAUAUCAAUAAGCGGAGGA